rnacentral:rRNA from 1 species
GAUGAACGCUGGCGGCGUGCCUAAUACAUGCAAGUCGAGCGAACGGACGAGAAGCUUGCUUCUCUGAUGUUAGCGGCGGACGGGUGAGUAACACGUGGAUAACCUACUUAUAAGACUGGGAUAACUUCGGGAAACCGGAGCUAAUACCGGAUAAUAUUUUGAACCGCAUGGUUCAAAAGUGAAAGACGGUCUUGCUGUCACUUAUAGAUGGAUCCGCGCUGCAUUAGCUAGUUGGUAAGGUAACGGCUUACCAAGGCAACGAUGCAUAGCCGACCUGAGAGGGGGAUCGGCCACACGGGAACUGAGACACGGUCCAGACUCCUACGGGAGGCAGCAGUAGGGAAUCUUCCGCAAUGGGCGAAAGCCUGACGGAGCAACGCCGCGUGAGUGAUGAAGGUCUUCGGAUCGUAAAACUCUGUUAUUAGGGAAGAACAUAUGUGUAAGUAACUGUGCACAUCUUGACGGUACCUAAUCAGAAAGCCACGGCUAACUACGUG